GACUGAUCUUGGGGAAGGGAAGGCGAGCGAUAGAAAAGAUAGAAAGAGGCAAGAAUUGCGUAAAGCGGGGAUAGUCACCACCAGGAUCCAGCAGCAGUCCCGUUGCACGACGUUCCGACGGUCCGAGGCCAAAGGGCAGGAGCAGCGAGGCCGGUCUUGGGCAACGAGAGGGUGCAGGUCAGGGAGGAAGCAGCAGGUCUCAGGUAGCAGGGCCAGGGAAGUCCGUCAGCAAACGGUCCGUAGAGAAGGAUCUGAAGGCAGAAAGCUCGUGUCGUGGUGAGAGAUCAGCCUCUGUGUUGCGGUGAGAGAUCAGCCUCUGUGUUGCGGUGAAGGAUCAGAUGGCAGAGAACCCCUCAAGUCUGUCGUGGUGAGAGAUAAACCUCUACCAUCGCCGUGGUUGUUGGACCCUCUUUUAUCCUCCAUUUUCUGCUGCCUACAUGACAUUCCUGGGUGCUUGAGCAAGAGUCCUGUGCAUACCUCCUGAGAUGGCCAUUUUCCUUGAGACAAGUCCCCACAAAAAGACCGUU
ensembl:lncRNA